GAUGAACGCUGGCGGCGUGCCUAAUACAUGCAAGUCGAGCGAACAGAUGAGGAGCUUGCUCCUCUGACGUUAGCGGCGGACGGGUGAGUAACACGUGGAUAACCUACCUAUAAGACUGGGAUAACUUCGGGAAACCGGAGCUAAUACCGGAUAAUAUAUUGAACCGCAUGGUUCAAUAUUGAAAGACGGUUUUGCUUUCACUUAUAGAUGGAUCCGCGCCGCAUUAGCUAGUUGGUAAGGUAACGGCUUACCAAGGCAACGAUGCGUAGCCGACCUGAGAGGGUGAUCGGCCACACUGGAACUGAGACACGGUCCGGACUCCUACGGGAGGCAGCAGUAGGGAAUCUUCCGCAAUGGGCGAAAGCCUGACGGAGCAACGCCGCGUGAGUGAUGAAGGUCUUCGGAUCGUAAAACUCUGUUAUUAGGGAAGAACAAAUGUGUAAGUAACUAUGCACGUCUUGACGGUACCUAAUCAGAAAGCCACGGCUAACUACGUG
rnacentral:rRNA from 1 species